GAAAUGCGAUAAGUAAUGUGAAUUGCAGAAUUCAGUGAAUCAUCGAAUCUUUGAACGCACCUUGCGCUCCUUGGUAUUCCUUGGAGCAUGCCUGUUUGAGUAUCAUGAAAUCUUCAAAGUAAAUCUUUUGUUAACUCAAUUGGUUUCUACUUUGGUAUUGGAGGUCUUUGCAGCUUCACACCUGCUCCUCUUUGUUCAUUAGCUGGAUCUCAGUGUUAUGCUUGGUUCCACUCGGCGUGAUAAGUUAUCUAUCGCUGAGGACACUGUAAAAGGUGGCCAAGGUAAAUGCAGAUGAACCGCUUCUAAUAGUCCAUUGACUUGGACAAUACUUUUAUGAUCUGAUCUCAAAUCAAGUAGGACUACCCGCUGAACUUAAGC
rnacentral:misc_RNA from 1 species